GAUGAACGCUGGCGGCGUGCCUAAUACAUGCAGGUCGAGCGAUCGAACGAAAAUUUUUGUUCGCUUUGGUUACGGGCGGACGGGUAAGUAAUACGUGAAUAACCUAUCUAUAAGGCUUGGAUAACUUCGGGAAACCGUAGUUAAUACCGGGAAAUAUUUUGAACCGCAUGGUUCAAAAAUGAAAUACGGUUUUUCUGUCACUUAUAGACGUAUCCGCGCUGCAUUAGCUAGUUGGUAAGGUAACGCCUUACCAAGGCAACGAUGCAUAGCCGACCUGAGAGGGUGAUCGGCCACACUGGAACUGAGACACGGUCCAGAGUCCUACGGGAGGCAGCAGUAGGGAAUCUUACGCAAUGGGCGAAAGCCUGACGGAGCAACGCAGAGUGAGUGAUGAAGGUCUUCGGAUCGUAAAACUCUGUUAUUAGGGAAGAACAUAUGUGUAAGUAAAUGUGCACAUCUUGACGGUACCUACUCAGAAAGCCACGGCUAACUACGUG
rnacentral:rRNA from 1 species